rnacentral:lncRNA from 1 species
AAAAGUGAAGACUAGGUUUUAUAUAAGCAAAACCAAGUAUCAUCUCUUUCAUUUUUGCACAAAAUUGGUUAAGUGUUAGAGAAAGCAAGAGAGAAGCUUGAGAGCUCUAGAGAGGGCCAAACUAAGAGAGAAGGGAAGAGAGACCAUGGAAAUCUAGGAUAAAGCUUGAUCAAGGCUAAGGAAGAAAAAGAACCAAGAAAGGUAAG